GACGACGACUCCUACGGGAGGCAGCAGUGGGGAAUAUUGCACAAUGGGCGCAAGCCUGAUGCAGCCAUGCCGCGUGUAUGAAGAAGGCCUUCGGGUUGUAAAGUACUUUCAGCAGUGAGGAAGGCGGGUACGUUAAUAGCGUGCUUGUUUGACGUUAGCUGCAGAAGAAGCACCGGCUAACUCCGUGCCAGCAGCCGCGGUAAUACGGAGGGUGCGAGCGUUAAUCGGAAUUACUGGGCGUAAAGCGCAUGCAGGUGGUUUGUUAAGUCAGAUGUGAAAGCCCGGGGCUCAACCUCGGAAUUGCAUUUGAAACUGGCAGACUAGAGUACUGUAGAGGGGGUAGAAUUUCAGGUGUAGCGGUGAAAUGCGUAGAGAUCUGAAGGAAUACCGGUGGCGAAGGCGGCCCCCUGGACAGAUACUGACACUCAGAUGCGAAAGCGUGGGGAGCAAACAGGAUUAGAUACCCUGGUAG
rnacentral:rRNA from 1 species